AUUGAACGCUGGCGGCAGGCCUAACACAUGCAAGUCGAACGGUGACAGGAAGAAGCUUGCUUCUUUGCUGACGAGUGGCGGACGGGUGAGUAAUGUCUGGGAAACUGCCUGAUGGAGGGGGAUAACUACUGGAAACGGUAGCUAAUACCGCAUAACGUCGCAAGACCAAAGAGGGGGACCUUCGGGCCUCUUGCCAUCGGAUGUGCCCAGAUGGGAUUAGCUAGUAGGUGGGGUAACGGCUCACCUAGGCGACGAUCCCUAGCUGGUCUGAGAGGAUGACCAGCCACACUGGAACUGAGACACGGUCCAGACUCCUACGGGAGGCAGCAGUGGGGAAUAUUGCACAAUGGGCGCAAGCCUGAUGCAGCCAUGCCGCGUGUAUGAAGAAGGCCUUCGGGUUGUAAAGUACUUUCAGCGGGGAGGAAGGGAGUAAAGUUAAUACCUUUGCUCAUUGACGUUACCCGCAGAAGAAGCACCGGCUAACUCCGUG
rnacentral:rRNA from 1 species